AUGGGUUUAGUAGCAUAGUGAUGUGAAGAGUUAGUUGGUUGUGGAUUCAGUAUAUUACAUUGGUUCAUACUAGUGUUACUCAAUGCUUUUUGAUGUUAAGCCUGUACACUGUGCCAACUAUGAGGCACACUUCGGUUCAGGCACCCAAUUAACAGUUCUCGAGCCAGACAUCCCUGUCACUCCACCCAAAGUCAAAGUCCUUCCACCCUCCACUAAGGAGUGUGAAGAUAGAAACAAGAAGAAGAAGGAGACGUUGGUGUGUGUGGCCACCGACUUCUACCCCGACCACGUCACUGUGUUCUGGAAGUUAAAUGGAGGCGCCAACAUCACCGAUGGAGUGGGGACCGACAACACUGCCUUGAGGGAUGAAAACAGACGCUACAGUAUCACCAGCAGACUGAGAGUCCCAGCCAAGACAUGGAACACGGCCUCUAACAGAUUCACCUGCGCCGUCCGCUUCUUCAAUGGGACCGAGAACAUCUAUGUUGCAGAUCACAUUAACGGAGAAGAAGGUGGUGAUGGAGGGAUGACGACAGAGUACUACGUGAAGAGCACCCAGACUGCCAAGCUGGCCUACAGCAUCUUCAUCGCUAAGAGUACCUUCUACGGCCUGGUCGUCAUGGCUCUGAUUUGGAAGUUUCAGCGCUCCUCAGAUAAACAGAUGUAAUUGAUCCCUGACUGAGACCAGGCCACCUGUGGAAGCUGAACUCGGUGGACUGGAGGGAGUCAUGUGUGGCAUAAGGCUCUGGUGAAAA